rnacentral:sRNA from 1 species
UUAACACAGGAGAAUUUGUAGAAAUAUC